rnacentral:rRNA from 1 species
GGACUACCAGGGUUUCUAAUCCUGUUUGAUCCCCACGCUUUCGUGCCUCAGCGUCAGUUACAAUUUAGUGAGCUGCCUUCGCAAUCGGUGUUCUAUGUCAUCUCUAAGAAUUUCACCUCUACAUGACAUAUUCCGCCCACUUCAAGUGUACUCAAGCUCAUCAGUAUCAAUGGCAAUUUCCAUGUUAAGCAUGGAGCUUUCACCACUGACUUAAUAAGCCGCCUACGCACCCUUUAAACCCAAUAAAUCCGGAUAACGCUUGGACCCUUCGUAUUACCGCGGCUGCUGGCAC